GAUGAAGAACGUAGCGAAAUGCGAUACUUGGUGUGAAUUGCAGAAUCCCGUGAACCAUCGAGUCUUUGAACGCAAGUUGCGCCUCAAGCCAUUAGGUUGAGGGCACGUCUGCCUGGGCGUCACAUAUCGUUGCCUGAUGCCAGUUUCCUCGUGAUGGGUGACUGUGCAGGGCGAAUGAUGGCUUCCCGUGAGCAUUGUUGCCUCAUGGUUGGUUGAAAAUCGAGUGCAUGGUGUCGGGUGUACCAUGAUGGAUGGUGGUUGAGUGAUGAUGCUCGAGACCAAUCAUGGGUAACUCCACCAGAAUUGGGCUCGGUGACCCACAUGCGUCCCUUGGAUGCUCCCUAAGGAGACCUCAGGUCAGGCGGGGCUACCCGCUGAGUUUAAGCAUAUCAAUAAGCGGAGGA
rnacentral:misc_RNA from 1 species